AAUUUGUUAGGAAUGAAAGAAAAAAAAGAAAGCAAAAGUCCCAAUAUGAUCCAAUCGAUAUUGAAACUAUUGAUAAGGUUGAUUUUUGGGUGACGGAAGAGGUUGUUGAAAAAGAGCCUGAUCUUCCAAGUAAUAUUGAAGACUUGCUUCAUGAGAUUGAUGCUGAUUUAGAUCAAGGUGGUGGUGGUGGUAGUACUAGUACAUUUUAUGCUGCACCACUUGCUUUUUCUGGUCCAAGUAGUGGAAAUGAAGGUGAUGAAAUCAAUGACGCAAAUCUGCAACAAAUUAUGGAGGAUUUUGAUGGUUGAUGACAAAUUUGGCUCAUUUUGAUGCUGCUAUGUUAUGUUUGAUUGGUUGUUUGUUGACUUUUGAACUUUGAAUUUGUAUUUGAAUGAGAUUAUAACAUUUGGUUUAUGUAGGACUUUUAAUUUGAAUGAUAUUUUAAAGUUUA